UACUUCCAAUUAGUGAAAAGAGAGAUCAGUCACUUUUUUCGUUUUGUUGAGCCAAUUUGGUUAUCAAAUGUUGGAUCCACUGAAGAAGAACGAGUUGAAUGGGUAUCAAAGCAUAUGAUUGAUUCAAAUUCGGGUCAGAUGUGGUUGUUGCCAUAUCAUAAGGGAAAGCAUUGGAUGCUUAUAAUAAUUGAUUUUGAUCACCAAUUGUGCUAUUUCCUGGAUUCUCUUCACAAUUUUCCACCAGAUGAAAUCAAAUCUCUCAUUUCUCGUGUCUUUCAACAUUUACGCACAAAUAAUGAGAAAACUAAG